rnacentral:tRNA from 1 species
GCGGGUGUGGUUCAAUGGUAGAACUCGAGCUUCCCAAGCUCGCAGCGUGGGUUCGAUUCCCAUCACCCGCUCCA